rnacentral:rRNA from 1 species
GUCUUUUUGAUUAUAAUUUAAGGUUUAAUCUGCUCAAUGAUUAUUUAAAUUGCUGCAGUAUUCUGACUGUACAAAGGUAGCAUAAUAAUUAGUUUCUUUAUUAGGAACUGGAAUGAAUGAUUGGACGAGAAAAUUUCUGUCUCUUUAUUAUUUAAAUUGAAUUUUACUUUUAAGUUAAAAGGCUUAAAUUUUUUUAGAGGACGAGAAGACCCUAUAGAGUUUAAUUUUUAUUUAAUUAAUUAUUAUUAGUAUUUAUAUUUAUUAUUUAAAUAAAAAUUUAGUUGGGGUGACUUAAAGAUAUGAAUAACUCUUUUAAAUUUUUAUCAAUUAUUUUUGACUAUAAAAUCUUUGUUUUUAAUUUUAAAAUAAAUUACCUUAGGGAUAACAGCGUAAUUCUUUUUAAAAGUUCAUAUUGAAAGAAGAGUUUGCGACCUCGAUGUUGGAUUAAAAUUAAUUUUGGGUGUAGAAGCUUGAAUAUUAAGUCUGUUCGACUUUUGAAAUUUU